CACGGCGCUGUCGCUUCUUUAUCUAUCUGUUCUGUGUAUUCUAUGGUUCUGUGGUAGUUUUUUUGCUGUUUUUUGCUGGUAAUGGCCAUAUCAGAGAAGUUAUUUUCAACGUUAAAUGGUACAUUUCGAAAACAGCGAAAAAAARUGGRCGUCGCAGUUUGGGAAAGUGUUCUCACCAUUAAAAUUGAUGAGCAUGGGAUGGCUUCACCAGCGCAAGAAGUCAAUCUUGAUGUCCCCAAAAAAUCGGGAGUUAUACACAUGGAAUAUAUCCAUAUUGAACGUACGCUAGAAAAAAAUCGAUACAUUCGAUUUGGUGAUAUCCAGAAUGCGGUGAAAAGGUCAAACUAAUAUUUGGAACCGCAGAGGCGAAAGAAGAUUUCUAUGAAGCAAUUACUGUCGUUAGCUCCGAUUCUGGAAAUUCCGAGUAAUCAUAAAUUUAUUUUGUUACUUACUUGAUAAUAAUUAAUGAGUAAAUUAUAAUAUAUUGAAAAUGUUAAUUUUAAAAUAUACCUUAAAAACGACGGUGUUUUCACGAUUUU